rnacentral:misc_RNA from 1 species
GAUGAAGAACGUAGUGAAAUGCGAAAAGUAAUGUGAAUUGCAGAAUUCAGUGAACCAUCGAAUCUUUGAACGCACAUUGCGCCCGCUGGAACUCCGGCGGGCACGCCUGUCCGAGCGUCAUUUCAACCCUCAGGCCCCCCUUCGCGGGCGGGCCUGGUGUUGGGGCCCGGCCGCUACCCUGCGGCCGUCCCCUAAAUCCAGUGGCGGCCUCGCCGUGAUCCCUUGCGUAGUAAUGCACCUCGCACCGGAGAGCGCCGUGGCCACGCCGUAAAACCCCCAAUUUUCAAUGGUUGACCUCGGAUCAGGUGGGAAUACCCGCUGAACUUAAGCAUAUCAAUAAGCGGAGGA